rnacentral:tRNA from 1 species
AGGCUCGUAGCUCAGGGGGAGAGCGCUACCUUGACACGGUAGAGGUCGGCGGUUCGAUACCGCCCGAGCCUACCA